rnacentral:rRNA from 1 species
GACGAACGCUGGCGGCGUGCUUAACACAUGCAAGUCGAACGGAAAGGCCCAGCUUGCUGGGUGCUCGAGUGGCGAACGGGUGAGUAACACGUGGGUGAUCUGCCUCUAACUUCGGGAUAAGCUUGGGAAACUGGGUCUAAUACCGGAUAGGACAAUCGUUUAGUGUCGGUUGUGGAAAGUUUUUACGGUUAGGGAUGAGCCCGCGGCCUAUCAGCUUGUUGGUGGGGUAAUGGCCUACCAAGGCGUCGACGGGUAGCCGGCCUGAGAGGGUGGACGGCCACAUUGGGACUGAGAUACGGCCCAGACUCCUACGGGAGGCAGCAGUGGGGAAUAUUGCACAAUGGGCGCAAGCCUGAUGCAGCGACGCCGCGUGGGGGAUGACGGCCUUCGGGUUGUAAACCUCUUUCGACAGGGACGAAGCUUUGGUGACGGUACCUGUAUAAGAAGCACCGGCUAACUACGUG